rnacentral:rRNA from 1 species
AUUCGUCGACAACAGAGUUUGAUCCUGGCUCAGCCGAAUUCGUCGACAACGAGUUUGAUCCUGGCUCAGCCGAAUUCGUCGACAACAGAGUUUGAUCCUGGCUCAGCCGAAUUCGUCGACAACAGAGUUUGAUCCUGGCUCAGGACGAACGCUGGCGGCGUGCCUAAUACAUGCAAGUCGAGCGGACAGGAGGGAGCUUGCUCCCGGAAGUCAGCGGCGGACGGGUGAGUAACACGUGGGUAACCUGCCUGUAAGACUGGGAUAACUCCGGGAAACCGGGGCUAAUACCGAAUAACAUUGGAAACCUCAUGGUUUCCUUUUAAAAGGCGGCUUCGGCUGUCACUGCAGGAUGGGCCCGCGGCGCAUUAGCUAGUUGGUGAGGUAACGGCUCACCAAGGCGACGAUGCGUAGCCGACCUGAGAGGGUGAUCGGCCACACUGGGACUGAGACACGGCCCAGACUCCUACGGGAGGCAGCAGUAGGGAAUCUUCCGCAAUGGACGAAAGUCUGACGGAGCAACGCCGCGUGAGUGAAGAAGGUUUUCGGAUCGUAAAACUCUGUUGUCAGGGAAGAACAAGUACGGGAGUAACUGCCCGUACCUUGACGGUACCUGGCCAGAAAGCCACGGCUAACUACGUGCCAGCAGCCGCGGUAAUACGUAGGUGGCAAGCGUUGUCCGGAAUUAUU